UACCACCUAGUCUUAUAACGCUUUUCUCUCCCUUUGGGCUUUUGUCUCCCUCAGGGAGUCGACUCGCUCUACUCCUCGGGACCUCCACUCACAGAGGGAAUAAAGCAACCCUGUUCGUUAGACCGGAGCCAACAUAAAACAGGAAGUUUAUUGAGCAUCUGAACACAGCAUCGGAAAGUUUCUGCACAGUAUAGCUAUGUCUCCCCUGCCCUCAGGGAGUCGACUCGCUCUACUCCUCGGGACCUCCACUCACAGAGGGAAUAAAGCAACCCUGUUCGUUAGACCGGAGCCAACAUAAAACAGGAAGUUUAUUGAGCAUCUGAACACAGCAUCGGAAAGUCUCUGCACAGUAUAGCUAUGUCUCCCCUGCCCUCAGGGAGUCUACUCGCUCUACUCCUCGGGACCUCCACUCACAGAGGGAAUAAAGCAACCCUGUUCGUUAGACCGGAGCCAACAUAAAACAGGAAGUUUAUUGAGCAUCUCAACACAGCAUAGGAAAGUCUCAGGACUCUCAGUCCUCACUUCGCACAGUACAGCUAAGUCUCCCCUGCCUCCAGGUAGGCUCUCUGCCUUUUCUCUCCCCACAGUCCAGAGACCCUGCGGUUUCCAACUGGGCAGCCGAGAUCACAGGCUCCAACCUGAUCAGGACUGCAGUUUGCUUGUUUGGCACUGUUCACUAUCCGAUCUCCUCCCAGUGAUCAGGCCCUGUUUCCUAAUGGCUUUACAUGUGGCGAGUCCAUGCGGUCGCACAUAGUAUCCAAAAGGCUUUAAGCUGGAGAAUCAGUGAGUAAUUCAUCUCAAGCAAGGCUCAGUUAUGUUUUGCUUUGCCUGUCAUGCUUGGGACAGCCGCCCAACUGAUUUUAAAUUUCCCGCAAACUCUGACCAGUUAUGACUGUCUCUUUGAUUGUAAAUUUCCCUAGCCGAUUUUUCCCCACAUGCUUGAGGGAAGCAUUGCUUUAGAAGUGACGAGUCUGAUCAGUAAUGACAUUUGUUUUCGCUGUUAUUUUCCCACACCGAUCGUCCCGUAAUGCUCAGGAUAGCAGCCUAAUUGAUUUAUAACUUGGAUUUCCCUGAGAACUUUGUCAUACGACCUGAUCAGUAUUGCCUUUCUUGCUGUUCAUAAUUGUCAUGCGCCCAUGUCGGCCACAAAAUCAGGAAGGUAUCCUAAUUGCUUAACCAUGCAGAUUCCCUGAGACAGUUGUCACAAGCACUGAUCAGUAAUAAGCUUUGCGUUCUUUGAAGGUUUCACGACUCGGUCUGUAAUGCUCAUGACAGCAGCCUAAGUGCUCUGAAAUUGACACCCUUGGAGUAAAGCGCCAGCCGCAAUGAUGAGACAUGAGUUGUGAUUUAUUUCUUGUUGGUUUUUUUUGCCACAAUCCUAGCGCUCCCAAAUUAUGAAUAACCUUUCCCAAUAGCUUUAUGUUGAAGAGUCCAUCAGAAAGUUCUCACAAACAGCGAUCAGUUAUGCUAUUUGCUUGUUUUAAAAAUAAGUUUCACGCCCCGUUCUCUUCCAAAUGCUCAGUACCGAAUCCUCAGGGAUGGAAGAUGUAGAGUUCAUGAGAAAUUUGUGACACGCUCCAUUCAGUGACGAAUGUCGUUGUUUCUUCUUUUCGCCCCAGACAGAGGUUCCCAGAGGAACCUCAGUCCAUCCGACCCCGCCCCAUUCAGAUGUGUCUUUGCUACAGGACCCUAACUGGGGGUCCGACCACCACCCCACAGCACCCGUGUCCCAGUGAGGGUAGGGAGCGAGCCCACAUCUUUGGUUGCCAGUGUGAUGCACCUCUCCCCUGUGCAGGGUUGUUGACCCACUCAGCUUCAGGGACUGGCUACAGACAGACAGGUAAAAGAAGCUUUGUAGUUCUUCCCUUGUGCUACUAGCCUGGGGGGAGAGUACUCCUUCCCUGACCUCUCCGCCGUCUGAUCUCUGGGUUCAGCUCUUUGGCCAUUACUGGCACGGGGGGCCGGAUCCUAUCUUAAAGAGACACAGUCACUUCCCAAGAGUACAUCAAGCUGCUGUGCUAAAGAAGCCCAGCUAACAGCCCUGCACCCCGAGGGUUCCUGUGUCUGCACAGGAACCCCGGGUGCAUGGCUGUUGUCUGGGAGCCUUUCCCCAAGUUACACGGCCCCUCGAGUCCUACAAGGGGGGAUCAGCCCGCCCUGGCCUUCAUGGGCACCCCUGAGUUGCGCUUCCUGGAGUCCCACUUUUGAGAGGUUUCUGGGUGACUCCCCUUCUGAGUCUCCGUUGUGGGUCUCCCUCCUCCCCCCCGAUCUGCUAUCCACAAACUCAUCCGCCAGUGCACCCCCACUGCACAUCUCUUUUAGCUUCCAGUCCACUAACCACAUCUUAUGAGGGCAGAUGUCAUACAGCUCCUCCAACCUCACCAGGUUAUACACGUCCUCGACGGUACUGGCUCCUUUGCCCUUUCCCCAUUUACAGAACUAUUCCCCCAGCAGGCUGGCGACCUCCUUGCCUGAGGUCUUGUGAGCACCAUGGAAUCAUUUCCUGUGUACGUGGGGGUCAGCUCAAACUCGACAGCAAAGCCUGUUUGAACAGGUCAUGGUCCCCCGUCUCAAUACCAUCCAUUUGGCUGAAUGCCUCUAUAGCCUUGAGACCCAGCAGGGGGCGGGGUUAGACAGCGGAGCCUGUCUGCCAGGUCAAUCUAGUUCAGAUCACAAGACUUCUCAAAAGCUGUGAGGUAGGCAUCAAUAUCCCUCCGCACCUUAAACUAGGGCAGCAUUUGGUGUCUAGAUGCCCUGCAGAACUGCCCCACUUAUCCCCUGGCAGGCCCUCUUGGCCUGCCUCUCUUCAGACUCCAGCUCAUGUUUUCAUUGCUCUGAGUGGUCAGUUAACCUCUGCUCCUUUGCCUCCACUCCUUCACUCUCAGCUCGUUUCCAUCUCUUCACAUCCACUGGGGGAAAGCCCCACUGGCAGUUGGGGAACUGGGUUUGGCGGCUCCCCUGCCACUACCCCAACUGCCUCCUGCUACUCCCAGGCUCUCUGGCCAAUCCGGAAGCCCCGCUGGGAUCUGAUCUUUAUCCUCAGACUGGUCACUCUCUACCAGCCGGUCAGUCAGCUGUUCCUGGGUGAGCCUCCCCAUGCUCAGCCCUCUCUCCAUGCACAGACAUGACAGGUCUCUCUUACGGAGCUGCUUAUAGGCCGUUUCCGUGCUGGGUCCUUCAAUUCCCUCAUUUUAUCGCUGGCAGUCACUCAUGCCCUGAAUUAUGAGAGUUUCUAUCCCUUAUCAUUUUGUUUUAAAUCCUAUGUGAUGCAACUUUGGCUGUUUACUAUUAAAAUAAACAUCCAAUCCCUUUUGUAAUCCUACUAAACUCUUGGCCUUGAGGGUAUAUUGUGGGAACAAGUUCUACAGGUGAAUUACAUAAAUCAAAUAGCAUUUCUUUUCAUCUGUUUCAAUUUUUUGUCUACCUCUGGACCUCUUCUAUUUCCGUUGACCACAAAUGAAAAUAAUUUUCUGGCUGAAGAUGUGUUAUUACUAGGUGUUAUCUGCCAUCGGGCUGGAUUAAUCACAUAGACCUGGGGCCUGAUUAUUUCGUUUUUACACUUUUUCUUUUGCACUCAUGGUCCUGAAAGCUAUCCAGGCCAAUAAGAUGGAAGCAUCGUGGGAGGGGCCAUUUAUGGUCCAAGAGUGCCUGGGAGCUGUUAAUUACCCCAUAGUGUUCCCGACCCUACCCUAAAACCUAAAGUAUACCAUGUUAAUUCUCUAAUGCCCUUUUAUUCCCGAGAUAUCAAGGUUCUCCAGUUUACGCCCAGGAGAGAGGCGCUGCUGAGUGGCCUGAAGGAGUCUACUAUGAAGGAAAAAGCAACAGUGGCGUAGAAGAGGAAGAAAUCCCAGCCAGUGUGGACGCAACCUGAACCAGGCUGGCCAGCACCAUCUGUGAUUUGAGGGGCGUGUGAUAAAUAAAGGUGGGGGGUAGCUCCCUUUUGUGGACAUCUAGCCAGCCAGUUAGAUAUAGAAUCCCUCUUGGCAGUUGUUCUCUACUUGCUUUACCUGUAAAGGAUUAACAAGUCCACAGGUAAAAGGAAAGGAGUGGGCACCUGACCAAAAGAGCCAAUGGGAGAGCUAGAACUUUUUAAAAUUGGAAAGAAACUUUCCCUUUGUCUGUUGUUGUUAUCUGGAGAGCAGAGACACAAAGCAGCAAUGCGGUAAGCAGCUUUAAAACCAGGUAUGAAAAAGCAUCAAUUCAUACCUUGAACCUCAGGGCCUGUGACCUUUCCCUUGUGACACACCCUCAUACACACUGCCUCCAAAACAAUGUGUGCCCCUCAGGGCGAGUCACCUAGCCCUUGUGAUACCCCCUCUUAUACACUGCCUCCAAAAGAUUGUGUGCCCCUCAGGGCCUGUAACAUGGUCCUUGUGACACCUCCCACCCCUCCCAAACACUGCGCAUCCCUCAGUCCCAUCACCUGACUCUUCUGAUACCCCGCUAUGCACAUUGCCUCCAAAACUCUGGGCGCCCCUCACAGCCAGUCAGCUUGCGCUUGUGACAACCCCGCUUACACAAAGCAUCCAAAACUCCAGGCGUCCCUCAUGGCUCAUCAUGUGGCCCUUGUGACACCCCCCCCAUACACAUUUCCUCCAAAUCACUGCAUGCCCCUCAGGGCCUGUAAUCUUGCCCUUUUGACACCUCUUUGUACACACUGCCUCCAAAACACUGUGGGCCCUUCAGAACCUGUCAUCUAGCCCUUGUCACACCCGCUGCCCAAGACACACAACCUCCAAAACAUUGUGCGUCUCUCAGUCCCAUCACCUAACGCUUCUGACACCCCCCUGUGAUGUUAUUGACAUGAAUUGUGACCGUAUAGAUCAUUGUUGCAACCAAGGUCCUAUAGUUGCACCAAAU